rnacentral:sRNA from 1 species
UAGAUCUAAAUAUUCUUGCCGUAAAACA